GUAGCAUAAUCAUUAGGGAUUUAAUUGGAACCUAGAAUGAAGGGUCGGACAAAGGAAAAACUCUCUAGACGAUAAAAAUUGAAUUUUACUUUUAAGUGAAAAGGCUUAAAUUUAUCAAAGGGACGAUAAGACCCUAUAAAGCUUUAUAAAUAAUUUUAAUUUGGUUGAUUUUAAAUGAUAAAAAUUAAAUUUGAUUAUUUUAUUUUGUUGGGGUGAUAUGGGUAUAAAUGUUGUUAACUGCUUAUAAAGAAUUCUCUUGUGAGAGAGUUGCAAGUUCAUGAUCCUUUUUUAAGAUUAGAAGACUAAGUUACUUUAGGGAUAACAGCGUUAUUUCUUUUGAGAGUUCAUAUCGAAAAAGAAGAUUGCGACCUCGAUGUUGGAUUAAAAUGUCUUUAUAGUGCAGCCGCUAUAAAAGAGGGUCUGUUCGACCUUUGAAUUUUU
rnacentral:rRNA from 1 species